rnacentral:lncRNA from 1 species
UGUAUUUGUUCCAAAUGCCUCAUAAUCAUAUCCUAGUAUCAUACUGUAAAUGCUUACAGUAUCUAAAAAUUAGUUAAAAUAUAUUAUAUGUUAAUAAAUCUAGAUGUGUGUUAGAGUGACUAGUAGAUUAAAUUAAAAAGAGUUGAUAUAAGAAACUUUACUUUGUUUUUUUACUUAUUUUGAUUUUAACAUUAAAAAAAAAUAUAGGACCUAAAUGUUUAGUAUGAAGCCUUGGAAGAAGGUGGAAGCCGAAGGAUGAAAAUCUAAACUAAUAGGAGGCUAAUU